GGCCCGUUCGUCUAGUGGUUAGGACAUCAGGUUUUCAUCCUGAAAACAGGGGUUCAAUUCCCCUACGGGCUA
rnacentral:tRNA from 1 species